AGUGAACGCUGGCGGUAGGCCUAACACAUGCAAGUCGAACGGCAGCACAGUAAGAGCUUGCUCUUACGGGUGGCGAGUGGCGGACGGGUGAGGAAUACAUCGGAAUCUACUUUUUCGUGGGGGAUAACGUAGGGAAACUUACGCUAAUACCGCAUACGACCUACGGGUGAAAGCAGGGGAUCUUCGGACCUUGCGCGAUUGAAUGAGCCGAUGUCGGAUUAGCUAGUUGGCGGGGUAAAGGCCCACCAAGGCGACGAUCCGUAGCUGGUCUGAGAGGAUGAUCAGCCACACUGGAACUGAGACACGGUCCAGACUCCUACGGGAGGCAGCAGUGGGGAAUAUUGGACAAUGGGCGCAAGCCUGAUCCAGCCAUACCGCGUGGGUGAAGAAGGCCUUCGGGUUGUAAAGCCCUUUUGUUAGGAAAGAAAAACAGCAGGUUAAUACCCCGCUGUUCUGACGGUACCCAAAGAAUAAGCACCGGCUAACUUCGUG
rnacentral:rRNA from 1 species